GGAUGAGAAGGUAUUGGAUCCACAAACGUAAAUUGGAACGAGACAUAGUAGAUUAGCAUGGCCCAUGCGCAAGGAUGAUACACACUAUUUGAAAAAUGGUUCAAAAAUAG
rfam:Brassica oleracea var. oleracea cultivar TO1000 chromosome C6, whole genome shotgun sequence